rnacentral:lncRNA from 1 species
CUGGCAAAGAGUAGACCUACAGUCCCCAAGUGAUCUGGUUUCUGAACUUUGUUUUGCUUUCACAAAUGUGAGCCAAUUUGCCCUAAAUCUGGGUAUUUCAUGUAGCAUCUUGAGAGAUGUAUUUAAAGUGCCUGUGGCAAUAACAUUUCAUUUGUACCCAUUUUGAUGAUUCUGGGUGCCCUCUUGAUAAGGCAGCCAGGUUGUGCUGUAAAAAAAAACAAUGUAGAGGUUUCAGUCUUAGGUGUUUGAAACUGUUGGAUCUCUCAAAAUUGAUUAGCUGAAAUAUA